rnacentral:rRNA from 1 species
AACGAACGCUGGCGGCAUGCCUAACACAUGCAAGUCGAACGAGACCUUCGGGUCUAGUGGCGCACGGGUGCGUAACGCGUGGGAACCUGCCCUUAGGUUCGGAAUAACUCCCCGAAAGGGGUGCUAAUACCGGAUAAUGUCUUCGGACCAAAGAUUUAUCGCCUUUGGAUGGGCCCGCGUUGGAUUAGCUAGUUGGUAGGGUAAAAGCCUACCAAGGCGACGAUCCAUAGCUGGUCUGAGAGGAGGAUCAGCCACACUGGGACUGAGACACGGCCCAGACUCCUACGGGAGGCAGCAGUGGGGAAUAUUGGACAAUGGGCGAAAGCCUGAUCCAGCAAUGCCGCGUGAGUGAGGAAGGCCUUAGGGUUGUAAAGCUCUUUUACCCGGGAUGAUAAUGACAGUACCGGGAGAAUAAGCUCCGGCUAACUCCGUG